AGCCUUGUGGUGAAGACACAUCAGAUUGCAAAUCUGAAGACGCAGGCUGACACCUGCCGGGGCUU
rnacentral:tRNA from 1 species